rnacentral:rRNA from 1 species
UACGUAGGGUGCAAGCGUUAAUCGGAAUUACUGGGCGUAAAGCGUGCGCAGGCGGUUGUGCAAGACAGAGGUGAAAUCCCCGGGCUUAACCUGGGAACUGCCUUUGUGACUGCACGGCUAGAGUGUGUCAGAGGGGGGUAGAAUUCCACGUGUAGCAGUGAAAUGCGUAGAUAUGUGGAGGAGUACCGAUGGCGAAGGCAGCCCCCUGGGAUAACACUGACGCUCAUGCACGAAAGCGUGGGGAGCAAACAGG